ACGGCUCAGUAACACGUGGAUAACCUGCCCUUGGGUCCGGCAUAACCCCGGGAAACUGGGGAUAAUUCCGGAUAACGCACAUAUGCUGGAAUGCUUUAUGCGUAAAACGGAUUCGUCUGCCCAAGGAUGGGUCUGCGGCCUAUCAGGUAGUAGUGGGUGUAAUGUACCUACUAGCCUACAACGGGUACGGGUUGUGAGAGCAAGAGCCCGGAGAUGGAUUCUGAGACAUGAAUCCAGGCCCUACGGGGCGCAGCAGGCGCGAAAACUUUACAAUGCGGGAAACCGUGAUAAGGGGACACCGAGUGCCAGCAUCAUAUGCUGGCUGUCCAGGUGUGUAAAAUACACCUGUUAGCAAGGGCCGGGCAAGACCGGUGCCAGCCGCCGCGGUAACACCGGCGGCCCGAGUGGUGAUCGUGAUUAUUGGGUCUAAAGGGUCCGUAGCCGGUUUGGUCAGUCCUCCGGGAAAUCUGACGGCUUAACCGUUAGGCUUUCGGGGGAUACUGCCAGGCUUGGAACCGGGAGAGGUAAGAGGUACUACAGGGGUAGGAGUGAAAUCUUGUAAUCCCUGUGGGACCACCUGUGGCGAAGGCGUCUUACCAGAACGGGUUCGACGGUGAGGGACGAAAGCUGGGGGCACGAACCGGAUUAGAUACCCGGGUAGUCCCAGCCGUAAACGAUGCUCGCUAGGUGUCAGGCAUGGCGCGACCGUGUCUGGUGCCGCAGGGAAGCCGUGAAGCGAGCCACCUGGGAAGUACGGCCGCAAGGCUGAAACUUAAAGGAAUUGGCGGGGGAGCAC
rnacentral:rRNA from 1 species